GCUUACGGCCAUACCUCUCUGGCUCCGCAGGAUCUCGUCUGAUCUCAGAAGCUAAGCAGAGUAGGGGCUGGUUAGUACCUGGAUGGAAGACCGCCUUGGGA
rnacentral:rRNA from 1 species